CGCUGUCUCUCGCCUUUGCUUCCCAAGGAGGCGUGUACCUUCUGAAUCCAGGGCACAGGCAGUGCCUCUCGGUCUGAGAAGCCAUUUAAAUCCAGAGGGAGAAAGAAAGAUGUCAAGCCCAGCGAGGGAACAAGAACCCCCAUUAUUAGCCAGGCCUACACCCUCAGCUUAGCCCUUCCUGCCACAAUCAUCCCUCAAGCUGGAACAACAGAAGCUAAAUAAACACCAUUCUUCAGAGGCCGGAGAAAGCUUCCAGAGGGGACGCAGCCAUAUGCCAGGAGGGGGUGGAGAGAAUCAGGAGACAGAAUCAGGCUUACGGAAGCCAGACGGAGUGUCUCAGUGAUAAAGCUGGCCUCAAAGGAGAGGAAGGGCUGACCCGGCUCCCUUCCCCAGGCAACUUACUGCCGAGGAGGC